AGAGUUUGAUCCUGGCUCAGGAUGAACGCUGGCGGCGUGCCUAAUACAUGCAAGUCGAACGCACCACUUCGGUGGUGAGUGGCGAACGGGUGAGUAACACGUAGAUAACCUACCCUUAAGACGAGGAUAACUGUUGGAAACGACAGCUAAGACUGGAUAGGAACAUUGGAGGCAUCUCUGAUGUUUUAAAAGACCUAGCAAUAGGUAUGCUAAAGGAGGGGUCUGCGGCGCAUUAGUUAGUUGGUGAGGUGAUGGCUUACCAAGACGAUGAUGCGUAGCCGGACUGAGAGGUUGAACGGCCACAUUGGGACUGAGAGACGGCCCAAACUCCUACGGGAGGCAGCAGUAGGGAAUUUUCGGCAAUGGGGGCAACCCUGACCGAGCAACGCCGCGUGAAUGACGAAGUACUUCGGUAUGUAAAGUUCUUUUAUUGGGGAAGAAUGGCUAGCGGAAAAGCUAGAUUGACGGUACCUGAUGAAUAAGCCCCGGCUAACUAUGUGCCAGCAGCCGCGGUAAUACAUAGGGGGCAAGCGUUAUCCGGAAUUAUUGGGCGUAAAGGGUGCGUAGGUGGUAAGAUAAGUCUUAGGUGUAAGUGCAGAGCUUAACUCUGUGAUGCUAAAGAAACUGUCUGACUUGAGUGUGGUAGAGGCAAGUGGAAUUCCAUGUGUAGCGGUAAAAUGCGUAAAUAUAUGGAGGAACACCAGUGGCGAAGGCGGCUUGCUGGGCCAUAACUGACACUGAGGCACGAAAAGCGUGGGGAGCAAACAGGAUUAGAUACCCUGGUAGUCCACGCCGUAAACGAU
rnacentral:rRNA from 1 species